AGGUGGGGUAGGGACUACAGGGCUCCAUCUGUCUUGACGCCCGACCUCCAGCUCCUGAUCCACUUCCGACUAAUCCAUCUGUGGAGCCAUCCAAGACUAUGACCCACUUCCCACAGUGCUCCUCCCCAGACAAGCUUCCCUGUGGACGGUCUUGUGCCCUAGUGUUCCUGCAGCCUGCGGGCACAAGCACCGCCUGUUCUGGACAGCUCCGCCCAGCCCAGCCCUCACCUGGGUGUUGUCCUGGACUCCACCCUCCCCUUCCCCAUCUCAGCCCAAGACUUCUGGCUCCAUCUGCUCUGGCCUAGAAAUGUCUCUCUCACUUGGGCCUUUGUAACAGCUGCUUUUCUCAAUCAAAUUUCUUGUCCCUGAUAUACUUACCUCUCAAAAAUGCAAAUAUGUUAAUAUCAGGUUAUUGCUUAAACACCUGCUGUGUAUUCCCAUUUCUUCUAGGAUAAAACCCAAGCCCCAUGGAUUGAGGGUCCCACCCUGAAGCUGAAUCUAUCAGACUAGGAUUUCUUCUGCCAGAUUAAAGGCCAUUUGCCUUGAUGAAUUGAGCAGCUUGGUGAUCUCUCUGAUUACUCUCAACAUUACACCGUCAUGCCCAUGCUGUGGACUCUCCUGUUCCCACGAUGUAUCUCCAAACAGUGCAAUAAAAAUCCUUAUUUUUAUUUUUAGUGGUUUUUCAAAAGCCUUCACUCUUCUUGAGCCUAGGCUUUCUGACAUGAUUCUUAUAAACAUGGGUCAUUUCUCCUGGGGUUUUGCUGUAUUCGCUUUCUUAAUAUUUGUGUCUGUAACACCCACACCCAUCAGAGAUGAUGCUAUGGAGUCACAUUGCUUUCUAGUUCACUCAUCUCUGGACUAUACAAUGGAAGGAACAUGGAUGUUGAGAUCAGAUUUAGAGUACUUGAAUCCUACCUAUAUCUCUUACUAGCAGUGUGAGCCUUAUCUCUAAAAUUAAGGUAAUAAUUCCUGCUCACUCUUACAGAGCUUCACAACUGGAUAUCUUUGCGGCAGUACCUUGUGGGCAUGCUUUUAUUGAGGUUUUCUUGGGUUUUUUCCCUUUAGUAAACAUACAGUUUUACCCGUUUGUCGAAACUCCUGUUUUCACAUCCCUUAAAAGCAGAUGGACAGAAAGCUACCAAAUUUAGAGGGUUCUUUGAGAUAACCCAACAUAAAAUACCUGUGUGUGUGACAUAUAUAUGAAUAUAUAUGUCUUGUAUAUUUGUUCUGUUUCUCUGGAGAAUCCUAAUAACAUCUCUUUGUGUACUUUAUUUUCACAUAUACUGAUUCUGGCUAGUUUUAUAUGCCCCACUAUGAGAAAAAAGUAUCAAUGCUAUAUUUACUCAUGAUGCCAUGGCACUUCAGAACCUGUUUGUUCGGGAACAAUAUAUAUUUCCAUGCCUAUGCAGUUCCCUAGUAGCAUUUUUUAAUGCCAGUUACAUCAUUACUCACAAUGCUGCAUCAUCUGCUGUGCCACCUAUGAAUACUGGCUUCCAGUGACUCAAGAAGUUGUUACUAAGCUUCAUUGAUUAAGACUACAAAUGCAAGUCUUACUCAGAAUAUGUAGGAAAAUGUGAAUGAUAAUUCAUUUUUCACUUAUGUCAAAUUUGCCACUCAGAAUUUUACACAUAGAAAAAAUGUAUCUUCCAACCAUGUCUGGAACUCUCUGGUCUACAAUCACUGCAUUUUUAGAAUGUGAUCUCUUUCAGUGUUGACCACAUUACUGUCUUUCAUUCACAGGCAUCAGUGGGAGCACAGGUGGGGGCUUAUGGAAGAAGUAAGAAGAGUGGCUUUAUUUACACAAGAAAUAUCUACCCCUUGCCACAUGGCUUACGAUCAACCCAGAAGGCCACAUUACACAUCAGAUGUGUAAUAGGGCAUUGCAAAAUAGGGCAUUGGUGAGAAGGAUUCAUUGGCCCAUCUCAAAAGCCCUUGGAGUAGAUAGUCAUGGCCACCUCUGGCAGCCAUCCUGACAUGUAUUAAGGAGCCCAUUCAGUGGGGUAAGGUGACUGCCUUGGGUGUCAGCAGUGAAAGUUGCACAAAAGUAGGGGAAUAGUGGUAAGGAGUGAGGUUUGAGAGGUCAACAGGGGUCAUAGAUCAGCAGGGUCAAGUAAAAAAAGGGCUGGAAGGAUGGGCAACCCAAGCAGCAGGAACUAUGUGUGGAAAGGCAUGGAGCUUUGAAAGGAGAAGGUGCAUCCAGGAAACAUCGGUUGCUCCCUUGUGGCUGAAAUAACAUGCAUUUAUGGAAUGUCAUGAUAGAAAGUUGGGCACAAGAGCAAACCCAGAGUUCAUUAGCUUCAUAUGUCAAGCAAGAGAAUUUGAGCUCUAUCUGUAAGUCAUGAAGACUUCAUGGAAUAUCUUAAGUAAAAGAUAGACAUGGCUGGAAUUGGGGUUUCAGGAAAAACACUGUGGCAGCAAUGGGAAAGUCAAACUGGAAGACAGAGAAACCAAAUAGAAAGAGGUUAUUUUAAUUAACCAGGAGAUGAUGAGGAUUGUCUCUGAACUCGAUACCAACUGAACUUGGGAAAGGAGCUGUUGGGCUGGAGAGAACACAGUAGACUCUAACAUGUUUCAGGGGCCAAACAGACAGGAUGUUGUGAUUGAUGAAUGUAGGAAUGAGGAUUGGGGAGGAGUCCAGGAUGACUCCCAGCUUCUACCCAUGGUGCCUGGGUGGAGAGCAGUGUCAUUCCUGAAACAGGGAACACAGAAGGAGCAAGUUUGGCAGGAAAGGGGAUCAAUUCAGGCUGGAACUUGCUGAGUUAAAGGAGCUGCAGGACAUAGAACAGGAGGCUCCCAGAAGACAAGGAACAGAUUCAAAAGUUGGGAGUGAAGUUUGGCCUCGAGAAAGUCAUGGAACCCAGAGAGGAUUCUGGAAUGAGAAGAGAGCUAAGAGGAAAACCUAAGAAACACUACAAUUUAAGAAAUGGUUAUGGUAUAAAACUCAAGAAUUGAAAUACAGAAGACCCUAGGAGGAAAGUCCAUCUUCCAAGUAUUGGAAACCACGCCCAAUUCCUUGGCCAAGUUUUCACAAUCCACUAUCCACACACACCCAUAUUCCCUCUUUUCUUUUCCAAUGACAAGUAAAAACACAACCUGCAUCCUCACCACAUGUACAAAGUCCUCGUACAAAAUUUCUCUAGAGCCUAACAUGGGUGCCCUCUUGAGUCAACAAGAAUGAACACUGCCAGUAAGUUUGUAGAAAGUUGACUUCAAGAACAUGACACAUGCUCACAGUAGGAUAUUGCCAAAGGACUGGUCAUGAGAGCCAAUCAGUCACAGCCACCAGCCCUGAAGGACAUGAGUCCAGGAACCUAGAGUUUAGACCUGUAAGCAAUUAAGGGUAGAAAGAUCUUCAAUUUAUUUUUCUCUUCCCCAUUUUCAGGCAGAGAAACUGAUACCCAGAGAAUGAAAGGAUUUUGUCCAAGGUCAGCAGUGAAACCAGUUGACCAGAUCAGUGUGACUAAAUUAUGUCAUGUUGGUUAAAAUGUCCUAAUGGGCAGCACAUUUCUAAAGUUUCUGCCAAUGCAACCAGGCACCAUGGGCACACUUCAGAAACUAAUGAGUCUGCAAUUCCUCCAGCUCAUUCAGAAGCUCCUGGGAUAAGACUCAAUCCUGGUAAGGCAUGGGAGACUGAAGAAAAGGUAGAAGUUAUCACCCUUCAUAGGGCUUAAUGGACUGUGGUUGUCACAUAUCCCUCCCUCUCUGAGGCCACUGGGAUCUGAAUUUGUCCUGGGCAGGGGCUUUGGGGUCAUUUAAUUAUCAUACCAAGGGGACCCAACGAGGGAAUCCAAACUUGUCUUGAAAAAGUGAUUGUCUUCAAAACUAGCCUGUGUCAGAAUUUUCCUUCCCAAAAAUAGCUGUCCAUGGGUUUGCAUUUUCACAGCUCUCUUCUAGGCAUCGGCUUCUGGUCUGACCUUGGUUCAGGACUUCCCCUUUAGAUGGAUGGAUCCAGAUGGGUCUUUCUGAAACCCCCUUUUGACAAUAUCACUCUCUGCUCGGGAGAACCCAGUGCUCUCCUCCACCUACAUGCAACUUAGUAGACAUCCUAGCCACAGCCUGAGCCUACAGCUUUUCCAGCCAUUGCUUCUUUUUGGUUCCCUCAAGUUCUGUCACUUUGGGUGUCUUCCAGUUCCCUGAGCACAAGAGGUAUUUUUAGGCCCCAGUGCCUUUGCACAUGUUUCCUGGAAUACCGUUUUCCUUGUUAUCCACUGAAAGCAACUCCCAUGUAUUCUUAUUUAUUUAAAUUUUUUGCAUCCAGACUUUGAAUUCCUCAAAAACAGUAACUGGUGUCAUAAUCACCUUGUUAUCCCCAGCACAUAGUUCAGGAUUUGUCAACAUGUUGGAAUGAAUGCCUAUGAGCCAAUCAGACUACUUGCCACAGUCAGGAGGAAGAGGAAGGCUGGAGUAGCUGUGAAUAGUACAAGAUGAACCUCCUUAUGAGUGUGAAAGAGGGGGAGCAUCAACAGAGUUACCAUGAAUUGACACAGUGGCCAUGUUUCCACCUGGUGGAGGAAUCCAUUUUUAACUCAAACCAUCCUCGAGAAGUUACUUUUCCUACCAGAGAGGUGGCAGGCUAAGAAUAAUCCCCUUCAUUAAUCCCUCCCAACAACUUGAAUAAUGGAUGGACCACAGGGAGUUUAGAAGCCCAGGUUAAGUUUAUGAGUUGUAAAUGUAGCUCUGGGCACACUGGGUAGGGAGAUAGGGGUGGUCCCUCGAACAGAAAGCCAGGGCAACUAUUUCCCAGAAUAAAUUAGAAGCAUAUCUCCUUAUGAAUACUGGGGAAUGCCAUUGAUGUUCCAUAAAGUAAACUUUGGUCAAAACAUAGCAGAAGCUGGAGAUUUUCUGCAAACAAACAGUAAUGUGAGGCCAGACAUGUGUAGGCAAGAAGAGCAAGGUAUCUUCAGAAGGAAGUCAGCAGUAUUUCCAGGAAGAACCAGAAUAUAAUCCAUUCUCUGGGCUGUUUCUAGCCUUGGGUUUUCACCCAUAGGGACAGUGAAAUGGCAGCUUAUAUCAGGCUCUUGUAUACCCCAUACUAUAUCAUGGGUAGUUUUUUCUGUACUAGUGUCCUCAAGUUGUCCACAUAGGUUUCUCAUUCUAGAACAUGAGCUCAGUAUUCUCUAUUAACAUUUUUGUGGUUAAAGUCCUAAAUUGCAGUCUCUCCAGCUACUACAUAAGGAUACCCGACCUGAGUGCCUCUGACCUGACACAUGAAAACAAGAUUUGGAUGCCCACAUGGACAUUCCUUCAUUUAACAAGUAUUUGUUGAGUGCCUACUAUGCACCAGAUACUGGGAGUAUAAUAAUAAACAAGAGACCCUGUGUUCUGGGAGUUGAUAGUCUAAGGGGAAAAGGGACACUGACAAGCAGCCAGGGCUUGCAAUACAGUCUAUGCACAAUACUCUGUACUGUGAUGGGGCAUUAGAGGGGGCCACAGAGACUCUACUUUAGACCAGUAGGGUCAGGAAAGGCUUACUGGAGAAAUGAUGUCCAUGCUGAGACAUCCCAUUAGACAACGUGAAGGGAAACGGAAAACAAGGCAUGCUCCAGGCAUAUAAGCUAGGCAACUGCAUGUGCCAAGACCUGAAGUUGAGAGACAGUGUGGCCUGUUAAGGGAAAAUGAGAAGAGCAGGACAAGUCCAAGUAUGGGCCCAGCCCAGUUCAGCCCAUCUAUACAUGUGUUACCAAGGAAGAGACCAGAAAUUUGGGGGCACAGCUCAGGAUCAGCCCCCACCUGAUACUCCAUUCUCACCUCAAUUGUGGAUGUGAAGUUUCAGCUUCACCAGGGCUGCAAGGCCAAAUGGUCCUUGAACCCCCAAGCCCAGCAGCUCAGAAUCUCCCAGGCUUCAUGACGUAAGGAAGAGUAAGAGGAAAGUUGCAGCCAUGACCCGAGACCCUUCUUUGCCCUGCCUGGUUUCCUGCUCUGUGGUGGCUUCAUCUCAGCAAGAAGGUUGCCAUCUUGAAUGGGAAUGGACAUUGGGGUGGGAUGGGGUGGGUGUUGGGGAGGGAGACCCAAACACCUGUCCAAUACAGUCAAAGAAGCUGGUUGUCACCAUGUGAUCAAAAAAAGAGACAAUUGGCUGAAUUUCAGUCACAUUUUCUGGAGGUUUGUAGACGUCGUAGAGGUUUACAAGCCUCCACAAUAGGUAGAGGUAUCCGUCUGGGGCAGGUGCCCCAGACAGCCUCCUGGAAGUGAUUACUCCACUCAACAGCCAAGAGGCAUCUCCUAAGGAAUGUGUGUUGUUUCAACCUGGGAUUGGAAGAAGGGCAAAGUUCUUGAACAAUAUUUCAUGGUUUACAAACAUCUUGAGGUUUACUGAGCACUUGUGCACCAGGCUUCUGCUAGGUAUUUUAAUAUCUAGCAUGAAGUUGGCUUCUCAUGACAGCCCUACAGGAUAAGUAAUAUAUCCCAGCUUUCAGAUCAGGAAAUUGAGGCCCAGGGAGGUGUAAGAAACUUGCUCAAAAUCCACCUUGUUGAGUGACAGAAGGAGAAUUUAAAUCCUGACCUCCUGCUUCCUCUCACUUCCAUCCCUGCAUUAUCUUAUGUCACCAUCUCGAGAGCCAUGGUAAGGUUGGCAAUAUUAGUAGUUUCAGAUAAAAAAAAGCAAGGCUUGGAUAGGUGGCAGAAGGUACCAGAAACAGGUGUUUCCAGCUGAUAAGGUUGGGCCCGUCAGCACAUUUUCUGAGGCAGCUCCCCUUGCUGAGCACCACCUCCCACAAUUUCAUUCCAACAUUUUAAUGAAAAAUAAACGUCUGUCCACCCCUACCCUGUGCACUAGGCCAGAUCAAGCAAUUACACAGUGUUUGUGUGGGAAGAGGACUGGUUCUGAGAGACCAAGCUGAUAGGGAGGGGUGAUAGCAGAGAAAACCCAGCUGGCUCAGUUGGGUCUUCCCAGGACCCCUCGUGCCCUUCUCCCACUGCCCUUUCCACUCAGAAACCUGCCCCCACUGCCCAUCCUGCCUGGGUGAGGCAGGAUCCACCACCAGGGUCCAGGCAGGACCCUGGAACUAAGGAUUUUACAUGCUUUCCAACCCAACUCUAACACAAGGCCAUACAGCAUAGUGGUGAAGGGCACUACUCACUCACUCUGAACUUGGACAGUGGCUCCAUCUCUUAGAACCUGUGUUGUCUUCUGUGAGAUGAGGAUGAUAGUAGCACCCAGCACACAGGGUUAAAUGAAAAGAGAGUCUUGCCAGGGACAGUUACAUGACAAGUGCUCAGGAAACACUAGUCACUUGUCUCCAUUUUUGCUUUUUAUUGAAGUAUAAUGAACAUACCAGAAAAUGCAUAAGUGCAUAGCUCACUGUUUUGGACAAAUUGAACACACCUGUGGAAGCAGCACCCAAUUCAAGAAACAGAAUUCUCAGCACUACACCCCGACUAUACCUUCUGGUUACUAUUUCCUCCCAAGAAUAACCCCAUCCUUACUUCUUACAGCAUAGAUAAAUUUCACCUGUAUUAAAGAUGGUACUACUUGAGCAAAGACAUGGAAUCAACCCAGAUGCCCAUCAAUGAUAAACUGGAUAAAGAAAAUAUGGUACAUAUACUCCAGGAAUACCAGGCAGCCAUAAAAAGGAAUGAAAUCAUGUUUUUUGCAGCAACAUGAAGUUGGAGGCUAUAAUAUUAAGCAAAUUAAUGCAGGAACAGAAAACCAAAUACCACAUGUCCUCACUUAUAAGUGGAAGCUAAACAUUAAGCACAUACAGACAUAUUAUAAAUAUGAGAACAAUAGACAUUGUGGACUACUAGAGGGUGGAGGGAGCAGGGGGGAUGGGGAAUUUUUAUAAGUAUUUAUUGGAUACUCUGCUCACUACCUGGGUGACGAGAUUUGUACUCCAAACCUCAGCAUCCCACAAUAUCCCCAGAUAACAAAUCUACACAUGUAUCCUCUAUAUCUAAAAUAAAAGUUGAUUUUUAAAAAAAGAUGCUACCAUUUGUUUUGUUAACUAUAAUUUAAAAUGCACCAGGAAUAUGCACACAUUCUUUGGGUGUGUUACCUUAUUUAGUCUUCAUCGCAGCCCUCUGAUGUAGGUAUACUCACAUUAUCCCCAUGUCAUAGAUGAAGAAACAGGGAACAUUCUAUGGAAUCUGCAAAAAUGCAGGUAGAACUGCAAGUAAGUUUAGCAAGAUCACAGCAUACAAAGUCAAAAUACAGAAAUCAGUUGCAUUUCUAAAUACUAGCAACAGACCAUUAAAAAUUGAAAUUUAAAAUAUUAUUUACAAAAUAUUUAUACAUACAUUUUAAAACCAUGAAAUACUUAGGGAUAAAUUUAACAAAAUAUAUAUAAAAACUACACAAUCAAAAUUAUAAGGCAUAGCUAAAAGAAAAUUUUAGAAGAUUUAAAUAAGUGAAAGUAUAUACUGUAUUCAUGGGUUGGAAGACUCAAGAUUGUUAAAAUAUAAAUUUAUUCCUAACUAACCUAUAAUUUUAGGGUAAUCCCAAUCAAAACUCCAGCAGACUUUUAAAAGUAAAUUGAAAAAUUGAUUCUAAAAUGUGUGUAAAAAAACAAAGGCCCUAGAAGAGCCAAAACAAUUUUGCAAAAGAAGAACAUUUUGAGGACUUUCAACACCUGGUUUCAAGACUUCCAGUAAAGCUACUGGAAUCUAGGCAGUGGUAUUGGCAUAAGAAUAGAAAAGCUGGGUGCAGUAGCACAGGUCUGUAAUCCCAGCUACUCAAGAGGCUGAAGUGGAAGCGUCACUUGAGCCCAGGAGUUUGCGACCAGCCUGGGCAACAUAGCAAGACUCCAUCUUGCUAAGAAAAAAAAAGAAUAGGCAUACAGAUCAAUGAAACACAACAGAGAGUACAGAAAUAAACUCACACAUAUACGGUCCCUUUGGUUUUAGACAAAUAUGCCAAGUCAUCCAAUGGGACAGGGAUAACUGUUUCUACAAAUGGUGUUGGAAUAACUGAACAUACAUAUGCAUAAAGAAUAAGUAAAUAUAAAAAAGAAGAAUCUUGUCCUCUACCUCAUGCAACAGAUAAUAAUUAAUUCAAAUAAUUGAUCACAGACUUAACUUUAAGAGUUAAGACUGUAAAUGUUCUAAAAGUAACAGAAGAUCUUUACAAGAUUGGGAUAGGCAAAUAUUUCUUAUAUAGAACCUGAAAAAAGGACCCAUUGUAAAAAAAUGAUAAAUUGGUCUUCAUCAAAAUGCAAAAAUGUCUUCUCUUUAAAAGGCACCAUUAACAUAACAGGCUACAUAUGGGAAAAAAUAUUUACAACACAUAUGCUUGACAAGAGACUUAUAUCCAGAGUAUUUAAAGAACUCUUCCAACUCAAUAGUAAAAAGAACAGCCUAAAUUUUGUAAGUAGGCAAAAUGUUUCUCAAGAUACACAAACUGUCAAAGUUCACAUUAAAAAAUCAUUAGUAAUCAGGGAUUGGAAGUAAAAAGCAAAAUGAGAUCAUAUGGUAUGUCAAUUAGGAUGACUAAAAUUAAAAAGACUGACAACAAAAAGCGUUGACAAGUAGGUGGAGCAACUGGAACUCUCAUACGCUGUGGUGAGAAAUACAAAACAGUACAACCACUUUGGAAAAAAUUCAGGCAGUUUCUUACAAUGUUAAACAUAUGUCUACUAUAUAACCUAGUAAUCUUACUUGUACCUAUUUACCCAUGAGAAAUGAACACAGAUGCCCAUACAAACACUUGUGUGCAAAUGUUUAGCACAAAUUUAUUCAUAGUAACCAAACACUGGAAACCACACAAAUUCCCAUCAACUGGUGAACAGACACACAAGUUUUUGUAUCAUCCAUAUUAAUAGCAUCAUACUCAGCAAUAAAAAGAAGCAAAAUACUGUACUGAUACAUGCCAUCACAAGUAUAAAUCUGAAAAACACCUUACUGAGCAAAAUGAGCCAGAAUACAAAAGAAUAAAUCUAUAUGAUUUUAUUUAUAAGUUCUAGAAAGACUAAGUUUAAUCUAAAGUAAUAGAAGAAAAAUCAGUGGUUGCCUGGGUCCAGUGGUGGGAGAUAGGG
rnacentral:lncRNA from 1 species